GAGGGGAUAGCUCAGUGGUAGAGUGCCUGCCUAGCAUGCACAAGGUCCUGGGUUCAAUCCUCAGUACUGCCA
rnacentral:tRNA from 1 species